rnacentral:rRNA from 1 species
UACGGAGGGUGCAAGCGUUGUUCGGAAUUACUGGGCGUAAAGCACGCGUAGGCGGCUUGGUAAGUUGGGAGUGAAAUCCCGAGGCUUAACCUCGGAAUUGCUUUCAAAACUAUCAAGCUAGAGUAUGGCAGGGGACAGUGGAAUUCCUAGUGUAGAGGUGAAAUUCGUAGAUAUUAGGAGGAACACCAGUGGCGAAAGCGACUGUCUGGACCAUUACUGACGCUGAGGCGUGAAAGCGUGGGAAGCAAACAGG